rnacentral:tRNA from 1 species
CCCUGGUUAGCUCAGUUGGCAGAGCGCUCCACCUGUAAGGGAGAGGUCCCGGGUUCGACCCGGACCAGGCG